UACGUAGGAGGCGAGCGUUGUCCGGAGUUACUGGGCGUAAAGCGCACGCAGGCGGUCCUAUUAGUCUGGGGUGACAGUUCCCGGCUUAACCGGAAAAGGACUCUGGAAACUGUAGGACUUGAGGGCUUCAGAGGGACACGGAAUCCGGGUGGAGUGGUGAAUGCGUAGAGAUCCGGAGGAACACCAAAGGCGAAGGCAGUGUCCUGGGGAGUACCUGACGCUCAGGUGCGAAAGCCAGGGGAGCGAACGGGG
rnacentral:rRNA from 1 species